GACAAUCAACAUUCAGCAAGCAGCAUUAGGACGGUAUCUUCGAUGGCCAAGUGGAGUUUCAUCCUUGUUUUCUCUAUUGCAGGUUUGUUGGAGAAUUCUAGACAAGCACGAGUGUGGGAAAAAGUCCAAGAGUUUCAUAAAGAACAAGUUCUCUCAGUUCCACAAGGACAUUAUGUGGAACUUAACUUUACCAUGCGCAGCCCGUAUCCAGGACGAUGUCUAAAGGGUUCUUAUCUUGAGAUUCGUGACGGUAGUAAUCAGUCAGCCAGUCUUCUUGGUGAAUUCUGUGGCGAUUUCAGAACUGAAGUAGUG